UGAGCAACCUGCCCUUGACUCUGGAAUAACAGCUGGAAACAGCUGCUAAUACCGGAUACGACCUUCGAUGGCAUCAUCUGGAGGUGGAAAGCUCCGACGGUCAAGGAUGGGCUCGCGGCCUAUCAGCUUGUUGGUGAGGUAACGGCUCACCAAGGCUUCGACGGGUAGCCGGCCUGAGAGGGCGACCGGCCACACUGGGACUGAGAUACGGCCCAGACCUCUACGGGAGG
rnacentral:rRNA from 1 species